GAGCUGGCGGGGCGCCCCUAUGGGAAGCUGGGGCGCCCGAAAGGGUCCUAGAAUUGGGGGUGGGAAGGAGGGUAUAGGGGAAGCUAAGGACAAGCUUACUAUGCUGUAAACUUUGGAGAGAAUUGCAGUGUUCACUUCCAUUCAAUCAUUAGGCCCCCGGCCUCAAUCACCCUGUGAACAGCUACUGUUCUGUGAGAGCCUACUAUGUGCUUGGUGCGUCCUCACAUCUACUAUCAUUAUUCCUGCUGGAAACAUGAAGUCUUGGGGAGGCUCUGAAAGGAGGAAAACAGGCCAGCAAGUGUCUGCACCAGGAAGCCAGGCCUUCUGGAAAUGUGUUGGACAGCAAUGGGUCCACACUUCCGCCUUGGCUCCUGAAUGUGGCAUAGCCAACCCAUGAGAGAUGUCAGUUGACAAAGAGCAUGAGGAUCAGGCCAUGGCCUUGUGACACAGUGGAUGAACAUCUGGCUGAAGAAACCCAGGAGAGAGAAGCACUGGACACUGGCUUCUGGGCUUGGCUGCUUGGGCUCUGGCCAAGGUCUGGGGAUGUCCAGGACAAUCCGUUUUCUGCUUCUGUGUCCAUAAACUCGGGGUAUGGACUCAUUUCCAGUGCUGAGAAGUUCUGAAAUUGCAAAAGAUUCUUCCUAGCAAGUUCCCGACCUGUCUUCUAACUACCCUGCCAUGUGGCCCUCUCUGGGCCUCAGUUUCCCAUCUGUGAAUGAAAGCACUAGACUCGAAGGGUCCCUUCUGGCUCUUCUAACUCCAACCCAGAGGCACAGCUCAGGCUGAGCAGUUGCAUUUCCUCAUCACGGGGGACUGACAGGGAUGUUUUGCAAUGCUUAAUUCCAACAUCAAAAUUCCCCCAAAUAUUCUUUUUUUUUUUUUUUCUUUUUUCAGACAGAGUCUCACUCUUGUCGCCCAAGCUGGAGUGCAAUGGCACAAUCUCAGCUCACUGCAACCUUCCCCUCCCCGGUUCAAGUGAUUCUCCUGCCUCAGCCUCCCAAAUAGCUGGGACUACAGGCGCACGCCACUAUGCUGGCUAAUUUUUUUGUAUUUUUAGUAGAGACAGGGUUUCAUCAUUUUGGCCAGGCUAGUCUCGAACUCCUGACCUCAGGUGAUCCGCCUGCCUCGGACUCCCAAAGUGUUAGGAUUACAGGUGUGAGCCACCUCACCGGCCCUAAAUAUUCAUUUGAAGACAUUGAUUCAGGAUGCUUCUAGCCAUUAAAUUUGAUUUGCAAAUGAAUUUUUCUGGAUCACUUCACAGGCCCUGGGUAAUGGCCAGGGGUCUGGGUGGCCAUAUUUUCCGAAUAAAGCUCAAAACCA